rnacentral:lncRNA from 1 species
GGGGCGCUGAGAACCCUGUGCGGGCGGCGGGCUCAGAGAAGACAGAAGUCAGCUACACGUAGCAGCCCCGCCAGGCAUGGACGUCCGACAUCCUCGGCCUGAACCUGGGAUUGAGUCCCAGGAGCUGAGUCAGGUUCACAGGGUCCAGGUGGCAGCGGGUCCCACCCGGGCUCCUGCGGAAGCCCUUGUAGCCCUGCCCUGGGUGCUGGAGGCAGAGGAGCUGGUCACUGUCAGGGUCACUGACAGGGACAGCCUGGAGGUCCCUUCCUCACCCUAUGAGUGAUGCCGCUUCAGCCCUGACUUGGAAAUACUUUCUGUAACCUGCUGGUAAAGACUUCAGGUGUUUCAGCUGCUAGAUCCCAGCAGUACAAUAGCUGCAUAGCUCAGUGUCUGCAGCUUGAGAGCCCACAGGUGCAGCAUGAAGAAGGGCCGGCCUGAGCUUGAGGAAAACUAUUUAGGAGCCCUGGAAUUUGAAUUUGAUAAAAUGUUCCAGUGGCAUGAAUUAUUCUUCUUUGGACUUUUUUUUUUUUUUUUAAGCCAUUUAGAAAAUGGUUGUAAUUUUUAGCAUGUGGACCAUCCAUAAAAGGGCUGCAAACUGGAUUUGGCCCAGGAGACAGUUUGGG